GUGUUCUAAAGCUUGGGUUGGUAAUAAAUCUUGGCUGUAUGAGACUAGAGAGAACUGGGCUUUAAAAAUAUGAUUUUAAUGUAAAAUCUUUUCUAAUUGCAGGACAACUUGCCUUUGAUGAUUUUCAAGAGAGUUGUGCUAUGAUGUGGCAAAAGUAUGCAGGAAGCAGGCGGUCAAUGCCUCUGGGAGCAAGGAUCCUUUUCCACGGUGUGUUCUAUGCCGGGGGCUUUGCCAUUGUGUAUUACCUCAUUCAAAGUAAGUAUCCUGCUAGCCGCCUGCGGCCUGACCUCCUCCUAGCCUGCUCCUGCUCCUCCAUCAGAGGAAAUACUUGAGAUGCUUUGUUUAGAUUAGAGAAAGGAGGAGAGGGUGAUUUUAAAGGCUAGUCCACCAUUUCGUUGGCUAUAGCUUCCUCUGUAUCCUGUAAUCUCAGUUUUUCCAGGAGCAACGAGUACAAAUAAAAGGACCAGGACUAAUAUGCAUAAGAAGCCCAGCAAAGCACGAUGGGCUUUCAGUCCAGUGCACACACAGGGGCUCCAUCAAGAUUCUGAGAUUAUAUAAAGAAGGGACAGAGGGA
rnacentral:lncRNA from 1 species